UGUGGGUCUUCUGUAUGCUGAAGUUCCAAGCAAUGCCUUUCUUAUUUCUCUAUCUUACAUGAAGUCGUCUAAAUGACUUUUUCUCAAUUUUAUUUCUUUUUCCAGCUUCUUCCACCUUUCACAGGAGAAAGAAAGCAUAAAAACAAUUUUCUUGAUGUGUGUGCUGUUGUGGUGCAUUGUGAGAUGAAAUUCUCCAGGCUCUACAUUUAUUCCAGGAGGUGGGACUGAUGUAUCAGAUAAGAAAAUUCGUCCUUCAGAGGAAGAGA
rnacentral:lncRNA from 1 species